CAAUAGCGUAUAUUAAAGUUGUUGCAGUUAAAAGCUCGUAGUCGGAUUUUGGCAUCAUGCCGAACUGUCAGCCGAUUGGUUUGUACGGUUUGGCGGGUGCUCUCCUUCCGGAGGCUCGUUUCCUCUUUCAUUAGAGGGUUCGAUGGUUCCGGGUCUUUUACUUUGAAAAAUUAGAGUGUUCAAAGCAGGCCUAUGCUCUGAAUAGGUUAGCAUGGAAUAAUAAAAUAGGACUUUGGUUCUAUUUGUUGGUUGUUCGAGAAUUGGAGUAAUGAUUGAUAGGGACGGUUGGGGGCAUCCGUAUUCCCAAGCGAGAGGUGAAAUUCUUGGACCUUGGGAAGACGAACAGAUGCGAAAGCGUUUGCCAAGGACGUUCUCUUUAAUCAAGAACGAAAGUUGGGGGAUCGAAGAUGAUUAGAUACCGU
rnacentral:rRNA from 1 species